GUUUUUCUUUUAGGAGGAAAUAAAGAAAAUUCACGUGAUUUAUUUGAUUCAACGUUGUUCAAUGAGGAACAAAUAUCUGUUUCAAGUCCUGAUUUUUCUGACACAGAUUCCAAUUAUACACCGCCUAUACAAGAUACUUCAUCUGAUGAAUCUUACUUAUACGAUGACAAGAUCUUGGAUCGAGCUUGCUCAUUUCGCAAUGUACCUCAUUCAUCUGAAGAGUUUCAUCAGACGAACUACUCAUUAUUACAACUUAAGCCCUUAUCUGACAAAAAUAUUGAGCAGCC